UCUAAUGUGGCAGAAUAUAUGCAAUGAGCUUAAAAUUCAUUAAUAAGUAAGUCUACUUCUUUAGAA
rnacentral:tRNA from 1 species